rnacentral:rRNA from 1 species
CCUACGGGGGGCAGCAGUGGGGAAUAUUGGACAAUGGGGGCAACCCUGAUCCAGCCAUGCCGCGUGUGUGAAGAAGGCCCUCGGGUUGUAAAGCACUUUCAGUGAGGAAGAACGCCUGGUGGUUAUUACCCAUCAGGAAAGACAUCACUCACAGAAGAAGCACCGGCUAACUCCGUGCCAGCAGCCGCGGUAAUACGGAGGGUGCGAGCGUUAAUCGGAAUUACUGGGCGUAAAGCGCGCGUAGGUGGCUUGAUAAGCCGGUUGUGAAAGCCCCGGGCUCAACCUGGGAACGGCAUCCGGAACUGUCAAGCUAGAGUGCAGGAGAGGAAGGUAGAAUUCCCGGUGUAGCGGUGAAAUGCGUAGAGAUCGGGAGGAAUACCAGUGGCGAAGGCGGCCUUCUGGACUGACACUGACACUGAGGUGCGAAAGCGUGGGUAGCAAACAGGAUUAGAUACCCUGGUAGUC